GAUGAACGCUGGCGGCGUGCCUAAUACAUGCAAGUCGAGCGAACGGACGAGAAGCUUGCUUUUCUGAUGUUAGCGGCGGACGGGUGAGUAACACGUGGAUAACCUACCUAUAAGACUGGGAUAACUUCGGGAAACCGGAGCUAAUACCGGAUAAUAUUUUGAACCGCAUGGUUCAAAAGUGAAAGACGGUCUUGCUGUCACUUAUAGAUGGAUCCGCGCUGCAUUAGCUAGUUGGUAAGGUAACGGCUUACCAAGGCAACGAUGCAUAGCCGACCUGAGAGGGUGAUCGGCCACACUGGAACUGAGCCACGGUCCAGACUCCUACGGGAGGCAGCAGUAGGGAAUCUUCCGCAAUGGGCGAAAGCCUGACGGAGCAACGCCGCGUGAGUGAUGAAGGUCUUCGGAUCGUAAAACUCUGUUAUUAGGGAAGAACAUAUGUGUAAGUAACUGUGCACAUCUUGACGGUACCUAAUCAGAAAGCCGCGGCUAACUACGUG
rnacentral:rRNA from 1 species